GGCAAUUUUGAAAUUUUCAAAUAUUUAAUUGAACAUGGAGCAAAUAUAAAUGCUACAACUGACGAAAACUAUACACCUCUAUCUGUGGCUGCUCGGCCUGGUAACAUGGAGAUUGUCAAAUAUCUUGUCGAACAUGGAGCGGAUGUGAAUUCUAGAGAUAACAGUCAUUCUACACCACUCCAUGAGGCUGCCCAAUAUGACGCACUCGAAAUAGUUGUGUUUUUAAUCACUCACGGUGCAAAUGUAAGUGCCGAAGAUAACGUUAAAUGGACGCCACUCCAUAAGGCUGCUCGAAAUGG